rnacentral:rRNA from 1 species
GGGCAUUCGCAUGGGCGAGCCUGACGGAGCACGCCGCGUGAGUGAUGAAGGGUUUCGGCUCGUAAAACUCUGUUAUUAGGGAAGAACAUAUGUGUAAGUAACUGUGCACAUCUUGACGGUACCUAAUCAGAAAGCCACGGCUAACUACGUGCCAGCAGCCGCGGUAAUAA